rnacentral:rRNA from 1 species
GCGGCCCCAGGUCAGGCGGGGAUUACCCGCUGAGUUUAAGCAUAUCAAUAAGCGGAGGAAAAAGAAACAUAC